GCUUAGUUUGUUCUAUGACGGGCCUUAGCAUAUGACGUUUUAAUACGCUUUCAUUUAAAGUCAGUUUACGCAUAAUUUGGAUAUUCUGAAUCAGCUAAUUUAUAAUAUUUUAUGUUUAAACCUUUGAUCGCGGAUUCUUAGAAAUCUAUUGUUAU